CCAGUGGAGAUGCUGUUACUUU
rnacentral:miRNA from 5 species